rnacentral:rRNA from 1 species
UACAGAGGGUGCGAGCGUUAAUCGGAAUUACUGGGCGUAAAGCGCACGUAGGUGGCGACGUAAGUCGGGUGUGAAAGCCCCGGGCUCAACCUGGGAAUUGCAUUCGAGACUGAAUAGCUAGGGUGCGGUAGAGGGAAGCGGAAUUUCCGGUGUAGCGGUGAAAUGCGUAGAUAUCGGAAGGAACAUCAGUGGCGAAAGCGGCUUCCUGGACCGACAUUGACGCUGAGGCGCGAAAGCCAGGGGAGCAAACGGG